UCCUGGUUAGCUCAGUUGAUAGUGCGCUCCACUGGAGAUGGAGAAGUCCUGGUUCGAUACCGGACCAGGCG
rnacentral:tRNA from 1 species